CCUACGGGAGGCUGCAGUCGAGAAUCAUUCACAAUGGGGGAAACCCUGAUGGUGCGACGCCGCGUGGGGGAAUGAAGGUCUUCGGAUUGUAAACCCCUGUCAUGUGGGAGCAAAUUAAAAAGAUAGUACCACAAGAGGAAGAGACGGCUAACUCUGUGCCAGCAGCCGCGGUAAUACAGAGGUCUCAAGCGUUGUUCGGAAUCACUGGGCGUAAAGCGUGCGUAGGCUGUUUAGUAAGUCGUGUGUGAAAGGCGCGGGCUCAACCCGCGGACGGCACAUGAUACUGCGAGACUAGAGUAAGGGAGGGGGAACCGGAAUUCUCGGUGUAGCAGUGAAAUGCGUAGAUAUCGAGAGGAACACUCGUGGCGAAGGCGGGUUCCUGGACAUUAACUGACGCUGAGGCACGAAGGCCAGGGGAGCGAAAGGGAUUAGAUACCCUUGUAGUC
rnacentral:rRNA from 1 species